rnacentral:rRNA from 1 species
GACGAACGCUGGCGGCGUGCCUAAUACAUGCAAGUAGAACGCUGAAGCGAGGAUCUUGCUCUUCUUGGAUGAGUUGCGAACGGGUGAGUAACGCGUAGGUAACCUGCCUUGUAGUGGGGGAUAACUAUUGGAAACGAUAGCUAAUACCGCAUAACAAUGGUUGACACAUGUCAUUUAUUUGAAAGGUGCAAUUGCUCCACUACAAGUUGGACCUGCGUUGUAUUAGCUAGUAGGUGAGGUAAUGGCUCACCUAGGCGACGAUACAUAGCCGACCUGAUAGGGUGACCGGCCACCCUGGGGCUGAGACACGGCCCAGACUCCUACGGGAGGCAGCAGUAGGGCAUCUUCGGCAAUGGGGGCAAACCUGACCGAGCAACGCCGCGUGAGUGAAGAAGGUUUUCGGAUCGUAAAGCUCUGUUGUAAGUCAAGAACGGGUGUGAGAGUGGAAAGUUCACCCUGUGACGGUAGCUUACCAGAAAGGGACGGCUAACUACGUG